GUUUUGCAAGCUGGAAAGCUGGCACACAGUGGACGGAAUCACACCGGUGAAGCCAUUGUGGGCAACAUCCAGCUGCUCUAAGCUCUUCAUGCUGCCAAUAGUGGAUGGCAAAGAUCCCUGGAGAUGAUUGAAGCUGACAUCGAAGACAGUAAGCUCCUUGAGCAUCCCGAUCUGUGGAGGUAAACAUCCAGUAAGGUUGUCGUUCAUGAGGAUGAUUUCAUUUAGCGUUUUGCCCAUCUUCCCUAUGCUUGCAGGAAUGCAACCUCGAAGAUCGUUGUUGGCGAAGACCAGUACCGAAACGGGAGAGUUGCCAAAGUUCUCAGGAAUACCAAAUCUGAACCAGUUGUCGUUUAAGAAAAGCGCAUCAAGUUCCUUGUCGAAAAGCUUGGAUGGAACCGAUCCU
rnacentral:lncRNA from 1 species